CCCUUAGAUGUCCGGGGCUGCACGCGCGCUACACUGAAGGAAUCAGCGUGCUAAAACCAUUGUCGAAAGGCAUUGGUAAACCCAUUAAAAUCCUACGUGAUUGGGAUCGGGAAUUGCAAUUAUUUCCCUUGAACGAGGAAUUCCCAGUAAGUGUGGGUCAUAAGCUCGCGUUGAUUACGUCCCUGCCCUUUGCACACACCGCCCGUCGCUGCCCGGGACUGAGCCGUUUCGAGAAAAGCGGGGACUGCUGCUGUCGGGGCUUUCGGGCCUUGGCUUCGGUGGAAACCGCUUUAAUCGCAGUGGCUUGAACCGGGCAAAAGUCGUAACA
rnacentral:rRNA from 1 species